UGGGAAAGAGAGAUGUUAACUUUUCCCACCCAGUCAUCCAGUGGGCCAAGAACAUGGACAACUUUAUGUCUGGAUGUUUGCAGAUAGAGUUGGGAUAGUGGAACAUAAUCUUCCUUCCUUGUCUUUCCCCUCCCCACUCCAGGUUUCUUCCCAUAUUUGACUCUAGGAGCCUUUCAGUGCCCACUGACAGAGUUUACUGCCAUGUAACAGCAACUGCUAUCAAGCCUGACAAACUCACUAAACCUAACACAUUGCUUUCAUGAUAUUUAUCUAUAAAGAAUGUCAUGUAAGAUUUCAAAUGAAAGCCUGUGAAACACUGGCCAUUGAUAUCACUGCAUAAUGUAUAUAUUAACAUGGUAUGAGGAAUUAUGGAUACUUACUGAUACUAUACUUAACUUCUGUUAUCAGGCAAAGAGAGGAACAGGUUUUCUUCCAGAUAAGAGGGAGGAUAGUUAACUCCCCUCUAUUGGAAGUUGAGCAUGGUGAUGCCAGAGACAAUGGACAGUUCGUUUGCAGUGGAGGUAAACAGGAGGAGCAAAUUAACAUGAGGAUGUGAAAUCAGCAUGGAAAGAUGCUGGAGUCUGAACCCCAAGGGUCCAUCCUGACUCUGGUGACAAAAAAUAAUAAACUCUGGGGAAUAUAAGGAGAAGCAAAAAGACACUUUGGUUAUCUAUCGCUGAGGGAACAAAGAGGUGAGCGCCCUUUGCAUUAUGAAUGGUAGAUCCCCAACCAUGUGGGUUGCUGACACUGAGAAGUGCCUUAGGCAAAGGUUGUAACCUGAUGUGUUAAGUUUUAGCCACUAGAAAGCACAAUUAUACUUUUAUUUUAUUUGUAACCACUUUGUUUCUAUUGUCUCUGCUUAGUAUCACUUAAAUCUCUCUUCUUUAUUAAUUAACUUAUGCUUUUAUAAUUGUUGUACAGAAGUGAGGUGUGCACUCUCAGAUGAGCCAACAGGCUGGUGCGUAUCUGGUCUCUUUGGAGACAGCAGACUUGAUAUUGCUGUGGGCCUCCAAAACUGGGGUUGGAUUCAGCUGGGAGACACUUUUGGAGAGGUCGGGAACUGAAGUACACCAAGGGUUAACCUGCAAGAUGAAGUUAGGACUGGCAGAGUCCUAAGGAGUUUGUUUAGCUGGAGAUAGCAGGGAGCAGCCACACAGUGUAAGACCAAGAAAUCUUUCUUUUGCUAAGGCAGAGGGGUAACAGGGUGACUUAUAGACAGAGGCAGUGCUAGCCCAUUGGGGGCCCUAAACAGGAAUAUUUUUGGUGCCCACCACAACACAACAUAUAAUAAAAAUCAAAUAGGGGACCCCCUUGAGCGGCUUGGGGCCCUAAGCAAUUGCUUAGUCUGCUUAUGCCUAGUGCCAGCUCUGCUUACAGUUCUGGAUGCCCCAAGAAAGCAUAGCACCAGGUUACAAAGGAUUGUACACCGUGGUGAGAUGGCCUCUUCUCUGGACUCAGAAGUGGAUGUGCCCCGUCACAGCAGCCAGCAGUGAGGCUUAUCAUAAGGCCUUCUGUGGUCUCCCUAUUCUUAGUUUUCAUCCCAGGUGUAAACAAACCUGUCAGACCUCUUAUUAGGGAGGGGGAUGACAUUUUCCAUUCUUUUCAGCACAGACAUUUUUCAAUGUUUAUAAAUAUCUAUGUUGUCAUUCUUCAAUUUAUCAAAGUGUGUUUUCUCCCAACCAUCAGUUGUUCAGGUGUUUUGAAUAAUUCAGAAACCCUUUUUGACUUCAAACCUGGCAUGUGCUAGCUGCAGCCCUCAGUGAGGAAUGUGCUCUUUGCUGGGUUGAAAAGAUUAGAUGAGAAAUAAGUUACAACCCAGUAGGGGGAAAACAUGUUUCCCUAUAGACUGAAGUGCGUUGCAGAGUGUGGUUAUCCAGACAUACAGAUGUUAUGGCUCCCCGGGCAACGAUACUGUAACCUGGUUACACUGCACACAGGUUUUAAACUAUCAAAGACCUCAUAUACAAUAAAUCCAAAUGCUAUGUCGGCACAAGAAGCUGAUUGCAGUAGCUGUGGGAACUAGGAAUAUGAAUUUACUAGUUUUUGUGUAUUAAAUAGGGUAAAGGUUGGACUCCAGAGUGCUACCCAUUCCACUGUUCUUUCAUUCCUUUUACAGUUGGCUGAAGUCUUGCUUUUACUUAGAAACCCUAUUUGUUGCUCUGCCUUAGACUUUUUUAAUCAUAUUGACAACCUAACCUUACAAAAAACAGUGUCAGUGCAUCUCUGUAGGAAAGUGUCAUAGCCACAUAGACAUAGGGAUUGGAUUUUAAUUAUAGCUAUAAAUCUCUAGCUAUAAUGAAGGGUCUGUCAGUGUAUCCACUCUGUUCAUAUGUAUAUUCAGAGGGUUAAAAUGUAUUGGUGCACUUUCAUUCUGGACUGAAGUAAGGCGAGCAAAGUCUCAGCAUGCGCAUAAUUAAUGACUUUCGACUCAGUUUGUUGACAGAUCAGUUCAACUGUCUAAAUUGCAGAUGUGCAAAGAGAGGCAGGGUUGAGCUUUUGCAUACUUUCUAUUUUCACAUUUAUAAAUAAGAAAUUGCCUCCAUUGCAAAAAUGAAGUGUCAUUGCCUUUAGCUAAUACAGAGCAGCUGACACCUCCAUGAAAAGUUUGAAAUGUUCCUUUGAGAACAGUGAGACAGCAUCUGUCUCAAUCUGGUAGUGGUCAGAGCAUACAAGUGGGAGCCAAGAGUUCCGGAGACUGAGAAGCUGAGACAAAAGCUCAAAGACUUGACAUUGAAGCAUCUGUCAUUCUUACUGAGCAUGUCUACUCGGCGUGGAUAAUUACUAAGUUCUAACUGAACAAGCCAAUCCUGUUCCCAUGGAAGUUAAUAGGGGUGCUAUUGAUUUCAUUAGGCACAGUACUGGGUCCUAAACUAGCAGAAUCCUCUCCCAGCAUAAAUAAACCCUGAGAUACUUUUGGGGAUGGUCUUUCUCUGGUUAUUCCAAAGACCUGGAUAGGAAAUUGAAAGGUUUAUCAGAGGAUAUUACAAAACCUAAUGCCUCCUGUGACAUGGAUGCCUGUGGAAUAAGGUCUUUUUCCAAGUAUUUCUAAAGCAAUACGUUGUAGUAUCUAUGCACUGUCACUUAAUUUUUACCUCAGUUUCCAAUUCUGUAAUAUUGAGUAAUAUCUACCUACAUCCCAGAGAGAUUUGAGGAUUAAAUUGUUAAUUUUUGUAACUAAUGCUUGUGUCCCCAUAACCAAUUCAGCCAUUUGGUCCUACUCCCCUUUGCAUGAAACCAUCUCAAUGCACCAAGUCCCCAGUCACUGCUUUUUAAAUUCCCUUUUAAAGACCCGCUCCUCCUAGAGAUUCUUAUUUAAAAAAUAAAUAAAACUUGAGAGAUGAAGAGGAAAUAAAGGAGCUUCUGCCUCUGGCUCUUCCAACUUGUCUUACCUUUCUGGAUCUGUCUUCUAGAUGGUAAACUCUCCAGGGCAAGAAUUUUUGAUAUUUGAGUCUUGUACAGCACUGAGCCCAUUGUUGGCACCUUACUAAUAAUAAUGGUAAAGUGCUUUGAAGAAAAGGGAGUAUUAUUACUCUAAGCAAGAUCAUCUAGAUCUUUUCUCUCUAUAUUUCUUUCUCUGGUUCUUCUGUUUCUCUCUUUCUCUCAUUCUUUAUUCCUAAAUAUAUUUGAAAAUAAUAAAGGAGCUGGGCAAAGUAAUACAGCAAAUGUAGAUGCCACCAUGUAAUUUUUCACAAAGUUUUGGAAGCUGUACGUUUGUUUAACCCUUUUAGCUUUGGAUGUAGGAUUUCUUUUGGCAUCUAAACAUCCUUAUUUUUGCCUAGUCUCUCAUUUCACCUUUCUGUCUUGCAAACUACUCGAGAAGCUGAAGCCUUCAUAAUAUAUAUUAUUAUAAACAACUUCCAGCUGGUUAAGUAGGUAUACUGUGAAUUAAUUUUCAUGGCCUGGGACUGUGAGUUUAAGAUAUGAGGCUGCAGAUUACAUCAGUUGAUUUCAUAGUAUGAUCAUAGAAUCAUAGAAUAUCAGGGUUGGAAGGGACCUCAGGAGGUCAUCUAGUCCAACCCCCUGCUCAAAGCAGGACCAAUCCCCAACUAAAU